rnacentral:rRNA from 1 species
AAUCAUGCAGAUCGAGCGAAUCGAUGGGAGCUUGCUCCCUGAGAUUAGCGGCGGACGGGUGAGUAACACGUGGGCAACCUGCCUAUAAGACUGGGAUAACUUCGGGAAACCGGAGCUAAUACCGGAUACGUUCUUUUCUCGCAUGAGAGAAGAUGGAAAGACGGUUUACGCUGUCACUUAUAGAUGGGCCCGCGGCGCAUUAGCUAGUUGGUGAGGUAAUGGCUCACCAAGGCGACGAUGCGUAGCCGACCUGAGAGGGUGAUCGGCCACACUGGGACUGAGACACGGCCCAGACUCCUACGGGAGGCAGCAGUAGGGAAUCUUCCGCAAUGGACGAAAGUCUGACGGAGCAACGCCGCGUGAACGAAGAAGGCCUUCGGGUCGUAAAGUUCUGUUGUUAGGGAAGAACAAGUACCAGAGUAACUGCUGGUACCUUGACGGUNCCUAACCAGAAAGCCACGGCUAACUACNUGCCAGCAGCCGCGGUAAUACGUANGUGGCAAGCGUUGUCCGGAAUUAUUGGGNGUAAAGCGCGCGCAGGUGGUUCCUUAAGUCUGAUGUGAAAGCCCACGGCUCAACCGUGNANGGUCAUUGGAAACUGGGGAACUUGAGUGCAGAAGAGGAAAG